UGAGGGCUGCCUAGUCUACACAGUGAGUUCCAGAACAUCCCAACUGUGCUGAAAGACCCUGUCUUCAAAAUAAAUAAGUAACAAAAUAGUUAAAAGACUUUGUCUAAAACAAAACCGAUCCAGCAAUAUGGUUUUGCUUUUACUAGACAUAUGGAUGUAUUUACAAGGCCAGGUGAAGUCUAGGUGUCAUACAAAGACCUGGAUAACAAUCCAUCCUCCUCAGUUGGCAAGAUGCAGCCAGGGC
rnacentral:lncRNA from 1 species